GUGCUCGCUGGAGGGCGGCGCGAGGGGCCGAGCCGACAAGAUGUUCUUGCUGCCUCUUCCGGCUGCGGGGCUAGUCGUCGUCCGACGUCUGGCCGUGAGACGUUUCGGGAGCCGGAGUCUCUCCACCGCAGACAUGACGAAGGGCCUUGUUUUAGGAAUCUAUUCCAAAGAAAAAGAAGAUGAUGUGCCACAGUUCACAAGUGCAGGAGAGAAUUUUGAUAAAUUGUUAGCUGGAAAGCUGAGAGAGACUUUGAACAUAUCUGGACCACCUCUGAAGGCAGGCAAGACUCGAACCUUUUAUGGUCUGCAUCAGGUAUGAGAAGAACAUGAUCAUUUGGUAAACCUUCAGUGAGCACCUACUGUAUACCAAGUAUUGGGGCUGUCUAGUCAUACUAAACAUUUUGUGUUGGAUUGUAUGAUUUUAUUCCAGUAUUAAGCAGAAACAUUUAAGAUUAAGAGGUGAAUUGCUGUCAAAAAGUACUGCCUAUCUUAUAUUCCUCAAUCUGAAGGCUUUCUUUAUCCGGUCGUGGCUCUGGCUUACAUAGAAUUAUUUGCAAGAGUAUCCUCACUCUGCCUCUCAAACAUAGAAGUUAUAAAAUUUUGCCAGGACACAAAGGUUUAAAGAAAAAAAAGCCACAACCAAAUUUC
rnacentral:sRNA from 1 species